rnacentral:lncRNA from 1 species
AAAAUUCCAUUGACUGAUUCAACCGAAAGUUAUUCUUGGGUUCAUCCCCUAGGGUGAAGAUAUAGGUUCACAAACAAAUAGAAUUUUGUUAUUUUAUAUUUAAUAUCUUUUAAAAACGAAAACAAAAUAUUAUCAAAUUAUAUUAUUUUGUUAAAAACAAAAGGGAAAAAUAAAUAAAAAGAAUAAUAGUUACAAAAAAAUAUUAAAUUUUUUUUAUUGUCGUCAGCAAAACACUAAACCUUAAACCAUAAAUCCUAAACCCUAAGCCGUUGGGUAAACCCUAAACUCUUGGGUAAAUCUUAAACCCUAAAUCAAAAACAGUAAACACCAAAACACUAAAACCUAAACCUUGAGUGUUUUAGUGUUUAGUGUUUUUGAUUUAGAAUUUAUGAUUUAUCUAAGGAUUUAGAGUUUACCCAAGGGUUUAGGAUUUAAGAUUUAGAGUUUAGGAUUUAUUGUUUUGCUGACGGCGUUUAAAAUAUUUUUUUUAACUACUACUAUUUUUAUUUAUUUGUUUUUUUUUAUCUUUUUAUUUUAAAAAUAUAGUAUAACUUCACAAUAUUUAAUUUCUUUUUUUUUAAAACAUAUCAAAUAUAAAAUAACACAAUCCUAUUGGUUGGUGAACCCAAUAAUAAGUCUUCUUCUUUUUUGUCAGCGUUUGGGUUUAUCAUUCAUAUAGGCUUAAGGUUGUGGGUUCAAUUUUCUGCCGAAGGAUUUUUGGAGGUUGAUAAAAAAAAUGAAGGAUUUUUGGAAAUUUUUAAUUAUAGGCCACAUUUUUCUAUGGACAAUUCUUUCAAAUAGACUUUCUUUUAAAUUUAUGUCACAAAAAUAGACUU